UUCCAGCUCCAAUAGCGUAUAUUAAAGUUGUUGCGGUUAAAAAGCUCGUAGUUGGAUUUCUGCUAGGGACGACCGGUCCGCCCACUGGGUUGGUAUCUGGUUCGGCCUUGGCAUCUUCUUGGAAGCCCGUAUGGCAUUGACUUGUUGUGCGGAGUUUCAAGACCUUUACUUUGAGGAAAUUAGAGUGUUUCAAGCAGGCUUUCGCCUUGAAUACAUUAGCAUGGAAUAAUAAGAUAGGAUCUCUUCCCUACCUUGUUGGUUCGUGGAGAAGAGAUAAUGAUUAAUAGGGAUAGUCGGGGCAUUCGUACUUAACUGUCAGAGGUGAAAUUCUUGGAUUUGUUUAAAGACGGACUACUGCGAAAGCAUUUUGCCAAGGAUGUUUUUCAUUGAUCAAGAACGAAGUUAGGGGAUCGAAGACGAUCAGAUACCGUCGUAGUCUUAACCAUAAACCAUGCCGACUAGAGAUUGGG
rnacentral:rRNA from 1 species